AUUUGAAAUUAAGAAAUUUAUUUUAUUAAUUUAAAUUAAAAUGAUUAUUUAAUAAAAAUAUUUUUUUUUUUUUUAUAAAUUUAGAUAAAAUUGGUUUUUAUAAUAGUUAAAUAGUAUAGAGAUAGAAUAUUGAAAUAAGUGAAAAUUUAAAUUUAAAAAAGAAAAUUUGAAUUAUUGUACCUUGUGUCUCAGGGUUUAUUUAAUAAUAAUUAUAAAAUUUAAUUUUCUCGAAUUUAAAAGAGCUAAGAAAUUAUUAAUUUUAUUGUUAAAUAAAUAUUUAUAAUAAUUUUUUAGAAAUGAAAUGUUAUUCGUUUUUAAAUUUAUCUAGUUUUUUAAGAAAUGAAUUUAAUUCAAUUAUUUAUUUAUAUUAAAGAUUAUUUUAUAUUAAGUUAAAAUAAGUAAUAAAUAUUUUAAGGGAUAAGCUUUAAAAUAAAAAUUUAAAAAUAAAAUUAAAAUUUUUAAAAUUUAUAGAAUUGGAAGUAUUUUUUAUUUGAGUGUGUUAUAACAAAUUUUAUUUAGAUUAUAAUUUUUAUAUUAUUUUAAAUUUUUUAUUAAAAUUAUUAAUUUAAUAUUAAAAUUAAUGUAAUAAUGAUAAAAUUAGUAUAAUAUUUAAUGUUUAAUAAUUUUUAUUAUUGAGGUUAAAUUAAGGAAUUCGGCAAAUUUUUUUUCCGCCUGUUUAUUAAAAACAUGUCUUUUUGAUAAUAAUUUAAAGUCUGACCUGCCCUAUGAUAUAAGAUAUUAAAUGGCCGCGAUAAUUUGAUCGUGCAAAGGUAGCAUAAUAAUUAGUUUCUUAAUUGGGAACUGGAAUGAAAGGUCGCACGAGAAAAAAACUGUCUCAAUUUAAUUUUAAUUAGAACUUUAUUUUUAAGUAAGAAAGCUUAAAUAAUUUUAAAAGACGAGAAGACCCUAUAGAGUUUUAUAUUUAUUUAUAUAUUUUUUAGUUUUAGGAUUUUAUUUUAAAAUUUAUAUUUAAAUAUUUGGUUGGGGUGAUUGAAAAAUUUAAUAAACUUUUUUUAAAAAUUUAACAUUAAUAAAUGAUUAAUUGAUCCAUAAAUAAUGAUUAAAAGAUUAAAUUACCUUAGGGAUAACAGCGUAAUUUUUUUUGAGAGUUCUUAUCGAAAAAAAAGUUUGCGACCUCGAUGUUGGAUUAAAAUAAACUUUUGGUGUAGAAGCUAAAAUAGUUAGGUCUGUUCGACCUUUAAAAUUUUACAUGAUCUGAGUUUAAACCGGUGUAAGCCAGGUUGGUUUCUAUCUUUAAAUUAAUAAAAUAUUUUAGUACGAAAGGAUCAAGUAUUUGUAAUAAUUAUUAAAAAUUAGAAUAUUAAUAAAAUUAUUUAAUUACUUUGGCAGAAUAGUGUUU
rnacentral:rRNA from 1 species